AGAGUUUGAUCAUGGCUCAGGAUAAACGCUGGCGGCGUGCAUGAGACAUGCAAGUCGAACGGACGAUCAGGGCUUGCUCUGAUCGUUAGUGGCGGACGGCUGAGUAACGCGUAGGUGACCUGCCCCGAAGUGGGGAAUAACUGCCCGAAAGGGUGGCUAAUACCGCAUGUGGUGCCGUGUUCAAUCGCGUCACCAAAGCAGUAAUGCGCUUCGGGAGGGGCCUGCGUCCGAUUAGCUCGUUGGUGGGGUAACGGCUCACCAAGGCGACGAUCGGUAGGUGGUCUGAGAGGACGAUCACCCAGACUGGGACUGAGACACGGCCCAGACUCCUACGGGAGGCAGCAGUCGGGAAUUUUGCGCAAUGGGCGAAAGCCUGACGCAGCAACGCCGCGUGAGGGAUGAAGGCCUUCGGGUUGUAAACCUCUUUUCUCAGGGACGAUGAUGACGGUACCUGAUGAAUAAGCCACGGCUAACUACGUGCCAGCAGCCGCGGUAAUACGUAGGUGGCAAGCGUUGUCCGGAUUUACUGGGCGUAAAGAGCGCGCAGGCGGUCGUUCAAGUCGCGUGUGAAAGCCCCCGGCUCAACUGGGGAGGGUCACGCGAUACUGAUCGACUCGAAGGCAGGAGAGGGAAGUGGAAUUCCCGGUGUAGUGGUGAAAUGCGUAGAUAUCGGGAGGAACACCAGUGGCGAAGGCGACUU
rnacentral:rRNA from 1 species